AACGAACGCUGGCGGCAUGCCUAACACAUGCAAGUCGAACGAGACCUUCGGGUCUAGUGGCGCACGGGUGCGUAACGCGUGGGAAUCUGCCCUUGGGUUCGGAAUAACAGUGAGAAAUUACUGCUAAUACCGGAUGAUGUCUUCGGACCAAAGAUUUAUCGCCCAGGGAUGAGCCCGCGUAGGAUUAGCUAGUUGGUGGGGUAAUGGCCUACCAAGGCGACGAUCCUUAGCUGGUCUGAGAGGAUGAUCAGCCACACUGGGACUGAGACACGGCCCAGACUCCUACGGGAGGAAGCAGUGGGGAAUAUUGGACAAUGGGCGCAAGCCUGAUCCAGCAAUGACGCGUGAGUGAUGAAGGCCUUAGGGUUGUAAAGCUCUUUUACCCGGGAUGAUAAUGACAGUACCGGGAGAAUAAGCUCCGGCUAACUCCGUG
rnacentral:rRNA from 1 species